rnacentral:rRNA from 1 species
UACGUAGGUGGCAAGCGUUAUCCGGAAUUACUGGGCGUAAAGCGCACGCAGGCGGUCUUUUAAGUUUGACGUGAAAGCUCCCGGCUUAACUGGGGGAGGUCGUUGAAUACUGGAAGACUUGAGGCAAUGAGAGGGGUGUAGAAUUCCCGGUGUAGUGGUGAAAUGCGCAGAUAUCGGGAGGAACACCAAUGGCGAAGGCAGCUCGCUGGGACGUUACUGACGCUGAGACGCGAAAGCGUGGGGAGCAAACAGG